rnacentral:rRNA from 1 species
GGAAUAUUGGACAAUGGGCGCAAGCCUGAUCCAGCCAUGCCGCGUGUGUGAAGAAGGCCUUCGGGUUGUAAAGCACUUUCAGCGAGGAGGAAGGGGUAGGUGUUAAUAGCAUCUACUUUUGACGUUACUCGCAGAAGAAGCACCGGCUAACUCUGUGCCAGCAGCCGCGGUAAUACAGAGGGUGCAAGCGUUAAUCGGAAUUACUGGGCGUAAAGCGCACGCAGGCGGUUGGUUAAGUCAGAUGUGAAAGCCCCGGGCUCAACCUGGGAAUUGCAUUUGAAACUGGCCAACUAGAGUAUGUGAGAGGGGGGUAGAAUUCCAAGUGUAGCGGUGAAAUGCGUAGAGAUUUGGAGGAAUACCAGUGGCGAAGGCGGCCCCCUGGCACAAUACUGACGCUCAGGUGCGAAAGCGUGGGGAGCAAACAGGAUUAGAUACCCUGGUAGUCCACGCCGUAAACGAUGUCUACUAGCUGUUCGUGGUCUUGUACUGUGAGUAGCGCAGCUAACGCACUAAGUAGACCGCCUGGGGAGUACGGUCGCAAGAUUA